UUUAUGGAGAGUUUGAUCCUGGCUCAGGAUGAACGCUGGCGGCGUGCCUAAUACAUGCAAGUCGAGCGAACGGACGAGAAGCUUGCUUCUCUGAUGUUAGCGGCGGACGGGUGAGUAACACGUGGAUAACCUACCUAUAAGACUGGGAUAACUUCGGGAAACCGGAGCUAAUACCGGAUAAUAUUUUGAACCGCAUGGUUCAAAAGUGAAAGACGGUCUUACUGUCACUUAUAGAUGGAUCCGCGCUGCAUUAGCUAGUUGGUAAGGUAACGGCUUACCAAGGCAACGAUGCAUAGCCGACCUGAGAGGGUGAUCGGCCACACUGGAACUGAGACACGGUCCAGACUCCUACGGGAGGCAGCAGUAGGGAAUCUUCCGCAAUGGGCGAAAGCCUGACGGAGCAACGCCGCGUGAGUGAUGAAGGUCUUCGGAUCGUAAAACUCUGUUAUUAGGGAAGAACAUAUGUGUAAGUAACUGUGCACAUCUUGACGGUACCUAAUCAGAAAGCCACGGCUAACUACGUGCCAGCAGCCGCGGUAAUACGUAGGUGGCAAGCGUUAUCCGGAAUUAUUGGGCGUAAAGCGCGCGUAGGCGGUUUUUUUAAGUCUGAUGUGAAAGCCCACGGCUCAACCGUGGAGGGUCAUUGGAAACUGGAAAACUUGAGUGCAGAAGAGGAAAGUGGAAUUCCAUGUGUAGCGGUGAAAUGCGCAGAGAUAUGGAGGAACACCAGUGGCGAAGGCGACUUUCUGGUCUGUAACUGACGCU
rnacentral:rRNA from 1 species